GCCCAACUAUAACACAACAAUCAAAUUACCAAUUGUUCGCCAAAUAACUACGAGUAAAAACUUAAAAUUUAAAAGACUUGACGGUACCUCAAAACAACCUAGAGGAGCCUGUCCAUUAACCGAUACUCCACGAUCAACCCAACCCACCCUAGCCUAACAGUCUAUAUACCGCCGUCGCCAGCCUACCUUGUGAAAGAAACAAAGUGAGCCCAAUAGUCACACACUAACACGACAGGUCGAGGUGUAACUUAUGGGGGGGCCAAGAUGGGCUACAUUUUCUAAUACAGAAAAUACGAAUUAAUCCAUGAAACAAGAAACUGAAGGAGGAUUUAGCAGUACACUAGGAACAACAUACCUAGUCGAAAUCAACGCAAUGAGGUGCGUACACACCGCCCGUCAUCCCUGUUAAACAACCACAAAACGUAUAUAAACACAAACUACCACUAAAGCAGGGCAAGUCGUAACAUGGUAAGCGUACUGGAAAGUGCGCUUAGAAA
rnacentral:rRNA from 1 species